rnacentral:piRNA from 1 species
GGAAUAAGCAACCAGAAGGGUGAGGC